GACGUAGGGCGCGAGCGUUGUCCGGAUUUAUUGGGCGUAAAGAGCUCGUAGGCGGUGUGUCGCGUCGGCCGUGAAAACCUGCAGCUUAACUGUGGGCGUGCGGUCGAUACGGGCAUCACUGGAGUUCGGCAGGGGAGACUGGAAUUCCUGGUGUAGCGGUGAAAUGCGCAGAUAUCAGAAGGAACACCGGUGGCGAAGGCGGGUCUCUGGGCCGAUACUGACGCUGAGGAGCGAAAGCGUGGGGAGCGAACAGG
rnacentral:rRNA from 1 species